rnacentral:rRNA from 1 species
UACAGAGGGUGCAAGCGUUAAUCGGAAUUACUGGGCGUAAAGCGUGCGUAGACGGUUACAUAAGUCGGGUGUGAAAGCCCCGGGCUCAACCUGGGAAUUGCAUUCGAGACUGCGUAGCUAGGGUGCGGAAGAGGGAAGCGGAAUUUCCGGUGUAGCGGUGAAAUGCGUAGAUAUCGGAAGGAACACCAGUGGCGAAAAGCGGCUUCCUGGUCCAGCACCGACGUUCAGGCACGAAAGCGUGGGGAGCAAACAG